rnacentral:rRNA from 1 species
UUGACCUCAAAUCAGGUAGGAUUACCCGCUGAACUUAAGCAUAUCAAUAAGCGGAGGAAAAGAAACUAACAAGGAUUCCCCUAGUAACUGCGAGUGAAGCGGGAAAAGCUCAAAUUUAAAAUCUGGCGGUCGUUGGCCGUCCGAGUUGUAAUCUAGAGAAGUGUUACCUGUGCUGGACCGUGUACAAGUCUCCUGGAAUGGAGCAUCAUAGAGGGUGAGAAUCCCGUCUUUGACAUGGACUGCCUGUACAUGAUGGUGCGCUCUCGAAGAGUCGAGUUGUUUGGGAAUGCAGCUCAAAAUGGGUGGUAAAUGCCAUCUAAAGCUAAAUAUUGGCGAGAGACCGAUAGCGAACAAGUACCGUGAGGGAAAGAUGAAAAGAACUUUGGAAAGAGAGUUAAACAGUACGUGAAAUUGCUGAAAGGGAAACGCUUGAAGUCAGUCGCGUUGGCUAGAAAUCAGCCUUGCUCUUGCUCGGUGUACUUUCUUGUCGACGGGUCAGCAUCAGUUUUGACCAUUGGAGAAGGACAUUGGGAAUGUGGCAUCCUUGGAUGUGUUAUAGCCYGGUGUCGCAUACGAUGGUUGGGAUUGAGGAACUCAGCACGCCGCAAGGCCGGGUCUCUGACCACGUUCGUGCUUAGGAUGCUGGCAUAAUGGCUUUAAUCGACCCGUC